rnacentral:rRNA from 1 species
CUUUACUGCAACUUGACGUUGGGACUUGGCUGUAUUUGUGUAGGAUAGGUGGGAGACUUUGAAGCAGGGCCGCCAGGUCUUGCGGAGUCGUCGUUGAAAUACCACCCUGGUGCUGACGAGUUUCUAACCGUGUCCGUAAGCCGGACAUGAGACAGCGUCUGGUGGGCAGUUUGACUGGGGCGGUCGCCUCCUAAAAGGUAACGGAGGCAUUCAAAGGUCCCCUCAGCGUGGUCGGUAAUCACGCGCAGAGUGCAAACGCAUAAGGGGGCUUAACUGCGAGACCGACAGGUCGAGCAGGUACGAAAGUAGGAGUUAGUGAUCCCGCGGUUUAGCGUGGAAUUGCCGUUGCUCAACGGAUAAAAGGUA